AUCUCCUUGAAGACACUGAGGCCUACGUCGAGGUGACCCAACAGUCAACCCCUGAAAAAGGCGGUCACAAAACCCCCAGGAGACGAAGAUGACGGCACGUCGUGACCCCAAACCUGGGGCAAAGAGACUGGUGAGAGCCCAGACCCUCCAGAAGCAGCGGAGGGCCCCAGUUGGGCCAAGGGCUCCCCCGCCCGAUGAAGAAGAUCCCAGGCUCAAGUGCAAAAACUGCAGGGCCCUUGGCCACACGGUCAGAAGUACCAGGUGCCCCAUGAAGUGCUGGAAGGCAGCCCUGGUUCCACCGACCUUGGGGAAAAAGGAAGGGAAGGAAAACCUGAAACCAUGGAAGCCCCAGGUUGAAGCCAACCCGGGGCCCUUGAACAAGGAUAAGGGAGAGAAGGAAGAGAGACCAAGGCAACAAGACCCGCAGAGAAAGGCUCUCCUCCACAUAUUUUCCGGGAAACCUCCAGAGAAGCUGCUGCCAAAUCGAAAAGGAUCCACGGAAUCUUCUGUUUUUCUGAGGGUUGCAAGCCGGCCAAUGCCGGUCCACACAACAAGUAAGAGGCCGUGCGUGGACCCUGAACUCGCUGAUCGCUCAGCUACCGAAAUGUCUGGCAGAGGCUCCGUCUUGGCUUCACUGUCUCCCCUCAGAAAAGCCAGUCUGAGAUCCUCCUCAAGUCUUGGACCAAAGGAAAGACAGACAGGUGCUGCGGCCGACAUCCCUCAGCCUGCAGUCAGGCACCAGGGCCCCGAGCCUCUCCUCGUGGUGAAGCCGACACACAGCAGCCGUGAG